GGUUGGCGGCAGCAGAAGCUGGACUGGAAGAGGAGGAGUGCAUUCUCCGUGAAACGCUGCAACGCAUUCAGGACCGACCGUACCCUGGACAGAAAUGUUUGGAGGAUCCCGAGAUGGUGAAGCAGUGGGAAGAGAA
rnacentral:SRP_RNA from 11 species